UACGUAGGGGCUAGCGUUGUCCGGAAUCAUUGGGCGUAAAGAGCGUGUAGGCGGCUUGGUAAGUCCGCUGUGAAAGUCCAGGGCUUAACCCUGGAAAGCCAGUGGAAACUGUCAAGCUAGAGUCCGGAAGAGGUGAGUGGAACUCCUGGUGUAGCGGUGAAAUGCGCAGAUAUCAGGAAGAACACCAAUGGCGAAGGCAGCUCACUGGGACGGUACUGACGCUGAGACGCGAAAGCGUGGGAGCAAACAGG
rnacentral:rRNA from 1 species